CUUCCCUUCUGACAGUAUAUUACUUGAGACAUGGGAACCCUCAAUGUGAAAAUCCUGCUAUGUUUGCUACUCCUCAUGCCACUCCAUUUGGUUCCCGGUUCCGGGGGCGCAACAUGCAAAGAGCUCAGUAGGACAUAUACCAAUCCACGCUGUGAUAACGAUGAAUGUGUUGAGGCCUGCCACAAGGAGGGCUUUACCCGAGGGGCGUGUGGAGGUAUUAUCAAAAGGAAAAAAUUUAUGAUACUUUGUUUUUGCAAAAAAGAGUGUUAAAGAAAAAAAAUGCGUUAAGGCUGUGGAGGAUGUGUUGUAGCAGUUAAUAAGAUUGUGUAUCAAGAAGAACUAAUAAUGAUGAGUGAUAAAUUGUGUGACUCUGCCAA